GACGAACGCUGGCGGCGUGCCUAAUACAUGCAAGUAGAACGCUGAAGAGAGGAGCUUGCUCUUCUUGGAUGAGUUGCGAGCGGGUGAGUAACGCGUAGGUAACCUGCCUUGUAGCGGGGGAUAACUAUUGGAAACGAUAGCUAAUACCGCAUAACAAUGGAUGACACAUGUCAUUUAUUUGAAAGGGGCAAUUGCUCCACUACAAGAUGGACCUGCGUUGUAUUAGCUAGUAGGUGAGGUAAUGGCUCACCUAGGCGACGAUACAUAGCCGACCUGAGAGGGUGGUCGGCCCCACUGGGACGGAGACACGGCCCAGACUCCUACGGGAGGCAGCAGUAGGGAAUCUUCGGCAAUGGGGGCAACCCUGACCGAGCAACGCCGCGUGAGGGAAGAAGGGUGUCGGAUCGGAAAGCUCGGUUGUAAGUCAAGAACGGGUGUGAGAGUGGAAAGUUCACACUGUGACGGUAGCUUACCAGAAAGGGACGGCUAACUACGUG
rnacentral:rRNA from 1 species